GCUUCUUAGAGGGACUAUCGCCGUUUAGGCGACGGAAGUUUGAGGCAAUAACAGGUCUGUGAUGCCCUUAGAUAUUCUGGGCCGCACGCGCGCUACACUGAUGUAUUCAACGAGUAUAUAGCCUUGGCCGACAGGCCCGGGUAAUCUUGGGAAAUUUCAUCGUGAUGGGGAUAGAUCAUUGCAAUUGUUGGUCUUCAACGAGGAAUGCC
rnacentral:ncRNA from 1 species